rnacentral:rRNA from 1 species
AUACGUAGGGGGCGAGCGUUGUCCGGAAUUACUGGGCGUAAAGGGUGCGUAGGUGGCACUUUAAGUUGGAUGUGAAAUCCCCGUGCUUAACAUGUGAGCUGCAUCCAAUACUGGAGAGCUAGAGUGCAGGAGAGGUAAGCGGAAUUCCUAGUGUAGCGGUGAAAUGCGUAGAUAUUAGGAGGAACACCAGUGGCGAAGGCGGCUUACUGGACUGUAACUGACACUGAGGCACGAAAGCGUGGGGAGCAAACAGGAUUAGAUACCCUGGUAGUCCACGCUGUAAACGAUGAAUACUAGGUGUAGGGGGUAUCAACUCCCUCUGUGCCGCAGCAAACGCAAUAAGUAUUCCGCCUGGGGAGUACGGCCGCAAGGUAGAAACUCAAAUGAAUUGACGGGG